UACGAAGGGGGCUAGCGUUGCUCGGAAUUACUGGGCGUAAAGGGCGCGUAGGCGGCACUGUUAGUCAGGCGUGAAAGUCCUGGGCUCAACCUGGGAACUGCGCUUGAUACGGCAGAGCUAGAGGAUGGAAGAGGCUCGCGGAAUUCCCAGUGUAGAGGUGAAAUUCGUAGAUAUUGGGAAGAACACCGGUGGCGAAGGCGGCGAGCUGGUCCAUUACUGACGCUGAGGAGCGAAAGUGUGGGGAGCGAACAGG
rnacentral:rRNA from 1 species